AGCAGCCGCGGUAAUUCCAGCUCCAAUAGCGUAUAUUAAAGUUGCUGCAGUUAAAAAGCUCGUAGUUGAAUUUCGGGACCAUCAUGUCGGUCGUGCCUCGGUACGUACUGGCAUUGUUGGUUUCUCCCUUCUGACGAACCAUGAUGUCAUUUAUUUGGUGUUGUGGGAAAUCAGGACUGUUACUUUGAAAAAAUUAGAGUGUUUAAAGCAGGCUCACGCUUGAAUACAUUAGCAUGGAAUAAUGAAAUAGGACGUUUGAUUCUAUUUUGUUGGUUUCUAGGAUCGACGUAAUGAUUAAUAGGGAUAGUUGGGGGCAUUAGUAUUCAAUUGUCAGAGGUGAAAUUCUUGGAUUUAUUGAAGACUAACUACUGCGAAAGCAUUUGCCAAGGAUGUUUUCAUUAAUCAAGAACGAAAGUUAGGGGAUCGAAGACGAUCAGAUACCGUCGUAGUCUUAACCAUAAACUAUGCCGACUAGGGAUCGGAUGAUGUUAAUUUUUAAUGA
rnacentral:rRNA from 1 species